UACGAAGGGGGCUAGCGUUGCUCGGAAUCACUGGGCGUAAAGCGCACGUAGGCGGAUUGCUAAGUCAGGGGUGAAAUCCUGGAGCUCAACUCCAGAACUGCCUUUGAUACUGGCAACCUUGAGUCCGGGAGAGGUGAGUGGAACUGCGAGUGUAGAGGUGAAAUUCGUAGAUAUUGGGAAGAACACCGGUGGCGAAGGCGGCCAACUGGACCACAACUGACGCUGAGGCGCGAAAGCGUGGGGAGCAAACAGG
rnacentral:rRNA from 1 species